rnacentral:rRNA from 1 species
CAAGGCUUGACAUAUACCGAAAACUCAUGGAGACAUGGGGUCCGUAAGGGCGGUAUACAGGUGGUGCAUGGUUGUCGUCAGCUCGUGUCGUGAGAUGUUGGGUUAAGUCCCGCAACGAGCGCAACCCUCGUCCUAUGUUGCCAGCACGUAAUGGUGGGGACUCAUAGGAGACUGCCGGGGUCAACUCGGAGGAAGGUGGGGAUGACGUCAAAUCAUCAUGCCCCUUAUGUCUUGGGCUUCACGCAUGCUACAAUGGCCGGUACAGAGGGCUGCGAUACCGCAAGGUGGAGCGAAUCCCAAAAAGCCGGUCUCAGUUCGGAUUGGGGUCUGCAACUCGACCCCAUGAAGUCGGAGUCGCUAGUAAUCGCAGAUCAGCAACGCUGCGGUGAAUACGUUCCC